UCUUCCACAAUGGACGAAAGUCUGAUGGAGCAACGCCGCGUGCAGGAUGAAGGCUUUCGGGCCCGUAAACUGCUUUUGUUAGCGAAGAAUUUGACGGUAACUAACGAAUAAGGAUCGGCUAACUCCGUGCCAGCAGCCGCGGUCAUACGGAGGAUCCAAGCGUUAUCCGGAGUGACUGGGCGUAAAGAGUUGCGUAGGUGGUUAUAUAAGUGAAUAGUGAAACCUGGUGGCUCAACCAUCCAGACCCCUCAUUCAAACUGUAUAACUCGAGAAUGGUAGAGGUAGCUGGAAUUUCUAGUGUAGGAGUGAAAUCCGUAGAUAUUAGAAGGAACACCAAGGCGUAGGCAGGCUACUGACCAUUUCUACAUAAGGCACGAGG
rnacentral:rRNA from 1 species